CCUGACUGCUAUCGGAUUGAUACUAAGCCAUGCGAGUCGUUGUASCAAUACAAGGCAGACGGCUCAGUAACACGUAGUCAACCUACCCUAUGGUCGGGGAUAAUCUCGGGAAACUGAGCAUAAUACCCGAUAGGUCAUAAUGCCUGGAAUGGUUUAUGGCCCAAAUGAUUUAUCGCCAUAGGAUGGGACUGCGGUCUAUCAGCUUGUUGGUGAGGUAAUGGCCCACCAAGGCAAUAACAGAUACGGGCUCUGAGAGGAGAAGCCCGGAGAUGGGUACUGAGACACGGACCCAGGCCCUAUGGGGCGCAGCAGGCGAGAAAACUUUGCAAUGUGCGAAAGCACGACAAGGUUAAUCCGAGUGUUUCCUGCUAAAGGAAUCUUUUGUCGACCCUAAAAACACCGAUGAAUAAGGGGUGGGCAAGUUCUGGUGUCAGCCGCCGCGGUAAAACCAGCACCUCAAGUGGUCAGGAGGAUUAUUGGGCCUAAAGCAUCCGUAGCCGGCUAUGCUAGUCUCCGGUUAAAUCCAUAUGCUUAACAUAUGGGCUGCCGGAGAUACUGCACAGCUAGGGAGUGGGAGAGGUAGACGGUACUUGGUAGGAAGGGGUAAAAUCCUUUAAUCUACUGAUGACCACCUGUGGCGAAGGCGGUCUACUGGAACACGUCCGACGGUGAGGGAUGAAAGCUGGGGGAGCAAACCGGAUUAGAUACCCGGGUAGUCCCAGCUGUAAACGAUGCAAACUCAGUGAUGCGCUGGCUUGUGGCCAGCGYAGUGCCGCAGGCAAGCCGUUAAGUUUGCCGCCUGGGAAGUACGUACGCAAGUAUGAAACUUAAAGGAAUUGGCGGGGGAGCACACAAGGGGUGAAGCCUGCGGUUC
rnacentral:rRNA from 1 species